rnacentral:tRNA from 1 species
GGGGCUGGGGCUCAGUGGUAGAGCGCUUGCCUAGCAUGGGCAAGGCUCUGGGUUCGAUCCUCAGCACCA